UACGAAGGGUGCAAGCGUUAUCCGGAUUCACUGGGUUUAAAGGGUGCGUAGGUGGGAAGGUAAGUCAGUGGUGAAAUCCCCGAGCUUAACUUGGGAACUGCCAUUGAUACUAUCUUUCUUGAAUACCUUGGAGGUGAGCGGAAUAUGUCAUGUAGCGGUGAAAUGCUUAGAUAUGACAUAGAACACCAAUUGCGAAGGCAGCUCACUACACGGUCAUUGACACUGAGGCACGAAAGCGUGGGGAUCAAACAGG
rnacentral:rRNA from 1 species